GACGAACGCUGGCGGCGUGCUUAACACAUGCAAGUCGAACGAAGUGGCGAACGGGUGAGUAACGCGUAAUCAACCUGCCCUUCAGAGGGGGACAACAGUUGGAAACGACUGCUAAUACCGCAUACUGAAGGAGGGGAUUGCGUCUGAUUAGCUAGUUGGAGGGGUAACGGCCCACCAAGGCGAUGAUCAGUAGCCGGGCUGGGAGAAUGAACGGCCACAUUGGGACGGGGACACGGCCCAGAAUCCUACGGGAGGCAGCAGUGGGGAAUCUUCCGCAAUGGACGAAAGUCUGACGGAGCAACGCGGGGGGGGUGAGGAGGGCCUUCGGGUUGUAAAGCUCUGUUAAUCGGGACGCGGUACCGGAAUAGAAAGCCACGGCUAACUACGUGCCAGCAGCCGCGGUAAUUC
rnacentral:rRNA from 1 species